rnacentral:rRNA from 1 species
AGAGUUUGAUCAUGGCUCAGAUUGAACGCUGGCGGCAUGCUUUACACAUGCAAGUCGAGCGGCAGCGCGGGGGCAACCUGGCGGCGAGCGGCGAACGGGUGAGGAAUACAUCGGAACGUGCCCGAGAGUGGGGAUAACGCCGCGAAAGCGGCGCUAGUACCGCAUAUUCUCUGAGGAGGAAAGUGGGGGACCGCAAGGCCUCACGCUCACGGAGCGGCCGAUGUCGGAUUAGCUAGUUGGUGGGGUAAAGGCUUACCAAGGCGACGAUCCGUAGCUGGUCUGAGAGGAUGAUCAGCCACACUGGGACUGAGACACGGCCCAGACUCCUACGGGAGGCAGCAGUGGGAAUUUUGGACAAUGGGGCAACCCUGAUCCAGCCAUGCCGCGUGCGGGAAGAAGGCCUUCGGGUUGUAAACCGCUUUUAACCGGGAAGAAAAGGCAUCUCUUAAUACGGGGUGUUCUUGACGGUACCGGUGGAAUAAGCACCGGCUAACUACGUG